rnacentral:rRNA from 1 species
CCUACGGGAGGCUGCAGUGGGGAAUAUUGCACAAUGGGCGCAAGCCUGAUGCAGCCAUGCCGCGUGUGUGAAGAAGGCCUUCGGGUUGUAAAGCACUUUCAGCGGGGAGGAAGGCGGUGAGGUUAAUAACCUCAUCGAUUGACGUUACCCGCAGAAGAAGCACCGGCUAACUCCGUGCCAGCAGCCGCGGUAAUACGGAGGGUGCAAGCGUUAAUCGGAAUUACUGGGCGUAAAGCGCACGCAGGCGGUCUGUCAAGUCGGAUGUGAAAUCCCCGGGCUCAACCUGGGAACUGCAUUCGAAACUGGCAGGCUAGAGUCUUGUAGAGGGGGGUAGAAUUCCAGGUGUGGCGGUGAAAUGCGUAGAGAUCUGGAGGAAUACCGGUGGCGAAGGCGGCCCCCUGGACAAAGACUGACGCUCAGGUGCGAAAGCGUGGGGAGCAAACAGGAUUAGAUACCCCGGUAGUC